rnacentral:rRNA from 1 species
UACGUAGGGUCCAAGCGUUGUCCGGAUUUAUUGGGCGUAAAGAGCUCGUAGGUGGUUCGCUAAGUCGGAUGUGAAAACUCGAGGCUCAACCUCGGGCUUGCAGUGGAUACGGGCAGACUAGAGUGCGGUAGGGGAGACUGGAAUUCCUGGUGUAGCGGUGGAAUGCGCAGAUAUCAGGAGGAACACCGAUGGCGAAGGCAGGUCUCUGGGCCGCAACUGACGCUGAGGAGCGAAAGCAUGGGGAGCGAACAGG